rnacentral:rRNA from 1 species
AUGGCGAAGAACGUGGACAAGCCGCUCUUCACGGCGACGUUCAACGUCCAGGCCAGCUCUGCCGACUAUGUCACCUUCAUCAACGGCAUCCGCAACAAGCUCCGCAACCCGGGGCACUCCUCCCACAACCGCCCCGUGCUGCCGCCGAUCGAGCCCAACGUCCCGCCGAGCAGGUGGUUCCACAUCGUGCUCAAGACAUCGCCGGCAAGCACCGGGCUCACGCUCGCCACCCGCGCCGACAACCUCUACUGGGAGGGCUUCAAGAGCAGCGACGGCACCUGGUGGGAGCUCACCCCCGGACUCAUCCCCGGCGCCACCCACGUUGGGUUCGGCGGCACGUAUCGCGACCUCCUCGGCGACACCGACAAGCUGACCAACGUCGCUCUCGGCCGGCAGCAGAUGGCGGACGCGGUGACCGCGCUCUACGGGCGCACCAAGGCCGACAAGACCUCCGGCCCGAAGCAGCAGCAGGCGAGGGAGGCGGUGACGACGCUGCUCCUCAUGGUGCACGAGGCCACGCGGUUCCAGACCGUGUCGGGGUUCGUGGCUGGAGUGCUGCACCCCAAGGAGAAGAAGAGCGGGAAGAUCGGCAAUGAGAUGAAGGCCCAGGUGAACGGAUGGCAGGACCUGUCCGAAGCGCUGCUGAAGACGGACGCGAAGCCCCCGCCGGGAAAGGCGCCAGCGAAGUUCACGCCGAUCGAGAAGAUGGGCGUGAGGACGGCGGAGCAGGCGGCUGCCACCCUGGGGAUCCUGCUGUUCGUCCAGGUGCCCGGUGGGAUGACGGUGGCCCAGGCGCUGGAGCUGUUUCAUAAGAGUGGGGGGAAAUAG